UUUUAUGACGCAGUUUCGUUUUAAAAGUGGAGUUUUAAUUUCUACUGUAAGAAUUGUUGUGCCAGCAGUUUUGAAAGUUGCUGCCAGUAAGAGUCCAGUCGGAGAGUGAAGGUUUAUGGAAGUUCGGGAAGCUGAAGGAUCGAGGAAAGUUGAUGUUAUCGGCGGUAAAACAGAUUCGACCUUAUUCAAUCGUCGUACAAGGAGUUAGUAACCCGUGUCCGAGAUAGCUCCUGCUAAAAGAGCAGAAAGAGUUGGAUGCAGAGUUUUGCCAAGGAAAGACCCAAGAAGAUGAACUGGAAUGUACGCCGGCCUCGCUGCCAAAAAUGUGACAGUCUGCAGCUCUGCA